CCGUAGGUGAACUGCGGAAGGAUCAUUAU
rnacentral:rRNA from 1 species